GAGGUGUGUGUUGUACUGAUACAGGGUGUGUGAGGUGUGUGUUGUACUGAAGCAGGGUGUGUGAGGUGUGUGUUGUACUGAUGCAGGGUGUGUGAGGUGUGUGUUGUACUGAUGCAGGGUGUGUGAGGUGUGUGUUGUACUGAAGCAGGGUGUGUGAGGUGUGUGUUGUACUGAUGCAGGGUGUGUGAGGUGUGUGUUGUACUGAUGCAGGG